rnacentral:misc_RNA from 1 species
UCUCCGUAGGUGAACCUGCGGAAGGAUCAUUAAAGAAUCGCCCCGUUUAUUACAAAUGGGUUCUAUUCCCAAACCGUGUAUACAUACCUUUGUUGCUUUGGCAGGCCGCCUCCGGGCGUCGGAUCCGGCUGAGAGUGCCUGCCAGAGGACCCAAACUCUGUAUUUAGUGAUGUCUGAGUACUAUAUAAUAGUUAAAACUUUCAACAACGGAUCUCUUGGUUCUG